GUUCCACAUCAGAUAUUCACUAUUGUGAUCAUUUAGGACAAAAGUAGUUUCAAAGAAGAAAAGAAAGAAGGAGAGAGGUGGUAAAGUCUCACUGUGUCCAUCUCUGGAAGCCCAUUAGCUGGAAGAGUGUGUUAAUGGCUACCGGGUGAAGGCUCCUAGAGGACUAACUUCUGGACAUUCCUGAUGCUCUGCCAAGAGAUUAGAAAGCAGCUAUUAGACAGUGUAUUCCCCAUAUCUAACAUUAUAAAUUAUAUCCUAGGCCAGCAGAAAUGGACCUAGAUGCUCUUUUAGCACAUACUGUGUUCUGAGAUCCAGGAUAACCGGGAGACUUAUGGACAAAGCUCUCAAGUAGGUUUUCACUCCAUGUACACCCAUGGUAUGAUGAGGAAGGAGCCUUUUCCUUGUGAAACAGGAGCAUCAUAUCAUGAGACAAGACUAGUUCAGCAUGAGAAGGCCAAAGCUGAAAAGAUGCGAUGGAAAUGCAAUGGCUGCUUCACUGGGCCCUCUGGAAACUAGGAGCCACUGAACUGCACCAGGUUUUGACCAGAACCAGCUCAUAGCCUGCUUCCAGGCUUUAGUUUCCAUUUCUAAGGACCCAAAAAUUGUAUGAAAAACCAUUUCCAAAAGCAUUUAGAAAUGUCUCUCAAUAUAGGCUGCAGAUUUUUGGACCAGAUGGCUUUGUAACUUUGCAAAGUAGACUUAAUUUUAUAGUUAUUUAAAUAUGCCACAUAUUUUAAAUCCACAGUGCUUCUGCUAAUUAACACUUCGUAAUUUCUCAAGAGUCCCACAGGCAAU